GUAGGGUUUACUAAAAUGGAGAUCUUUCGAAUGCCUCAUUGGUCAGUUCAUGUUAUAGAGUUACAUAAGUAAUUAAGAGUACUCGUCAUGUGUGAGUUCCAAUAU